rnacentral:rRNA from 1 species
UAGGGAAUCUUCGGCAAUGGGGGGAACCCUGACCGAGCAACGCCGCGUGAGUGAAGAAGGUUUUCGUAUCGUAAAGCUCUGUUGUUAAGGAAGAACGAGUGUGAGAAUGGAAAGUUCAUACUGUGACGGUACUUAACCAGAAAGGGACGGCUAACUACGUGCCAGCAGCCGCGGUAAUACGUAGGUCCCGAGCGUUGUCCGGAUUUAUUGGGCGUAAAGCGAGCGCAGGCGGUUAGAAAAGUCUGAAGUGAAAGGCAGUGGCUCAACCAUUGUAGGCUUUGGAAACUGUUUAACUUGAGUGCAGAAGGGGAGAGUGGAAUUCCAUGUGUAGCGGUGAAAUGCGUAGAUAUAUGGAGGAACACCGGUGGCGAAAGCGGCUCUCUGGUCUGUAACUGACGCUGAGGCUCGAAAGCGUGGGGAGCGAACAGG